AACCCCAAAAUCCGUGAGUUAUCACACCUGUGGAAGCGUUUGACAGAGGGAUCCCAGAGCAGCUGGCAGUCGUUGCUCAGCACCGGCGCUCCGUUGUGCUCUCAGACAAUCCGGGUUCACCCAGCAAAGCAGCCCCGGAGCAACGCGUGCAGAACGUCGCAGUGCAAACAGCGGAGGGGCGCGGGGGUGGGGGGUCGGGGGGGUGAGGAGGGUCUGCCUCUGCUUGGCAGCUCCUGGAGGAACUGCUGCCUUUCUUUCUUUUCAGCUGAUUCAUUUUUGUUUCCAAUUUCCAGAGGAAAUGUAACUCGGGUGAAACCUGGCGCAGAGCUCCGAAGCCGGAGGGUCCGAGAAAGCGGCGCAAAGGGAAGAAAAAGAGCAGCGAGGGCUGUACUUACAGAGCUGGCAGGAAUUUCAUUCAAAGGGAAGAAAGAGGAAAAAAGAAAGAAAAAGGAAGGGGAAAAAAAAAAGAAAGAAACCUCAACAAAUAAAGCCGCGUUCUUAACUCCGCGA